GACGAACGCUGGCGGCGUGCCUAAUACAUGCAAGUCGAGCGCAGGAAACUGACGGAACUCUUCGGAGGGAAGGCAGUGGAAUGAGCGGCGGACGGGUGAGUAACACGUAAGGAACCUGCCUCAAGGAUUGGGAUAACUCCGAGAAAUCGGAGCUAAUACCGGAUAGUUCAACGGACCGCAUGGUCCGCUGAUGAAAGGCGCUUCGGCGUCACCUUGAGAUGGCCUUGCGGUGCAUUAGCUAGUUGGUGGGGUAACGGCGCACCAAGGCGACGAUGAAUAGCCGACCUGAGAGGGUGAUCGGCCACACUUGGACUGAGACACGGCCCAGACUCCUACGGGAGGCAGCAGUAGGGAAUCUUCCACAAUGGACGAAAGUCUGAUGGAGCAACGCCGCGUGAGUGAUGAAGGUUUUCGGAUCGUAAAACUCUGUUGUAAGGGAAGAACACGUACGAGAGGAAAUGCUCGUACCUUGACGGUACCUUACGAGAAAGCCACGGCUAACUACGUGCCAGCAGCCGCAGUAAUAC
rnacentral:rRNA from 1 species